rnacentral:sRNA from 1 species
UCACGAGGUGAACCGAUAUUAGCCUACC